rnacentral:rRNA from 1 species
UACGGGGGGGGCAAGCGUUGUUCGGAAUUACUGGGCGUAAAGCGCGCGUAGGCGGACCUGCAAGUCGGGGGUGAAAGCCCGAGGCUCAACCUCGGAACUGCCUUCGAUACUGCGGGUCUCGAGUCCGGGAGAGGUGAGUGGAAUUCCUGGUGUAGCGGUGAAAUGCGCAGAUAUCAGGAAGAACACCAAUGGCGAAAGCAGCUCUCUGGGACGGUACCGACGCUGAGACGCGAAAGCGUGGGGAGCGAACAGG